rnacentral:snRNA from 1 species
CUGCUCUCUUCGGCAGCAUGUAUAAUCAAAUGAGAAUGAAACAGAGAAGAUUAGCAAGGCCCUUGUGCAAGGAUGACACGUACAUUCAUGAAGUGAAAUCCUGGCUU